GUACAAGCGUAGAGUUAGCGCUGCCGCUAUAUAAACGACGGAUUUUGUUGGCAGUGCGACUUGCAGUCUGAUCUUCUUCCUCUUGCAGUCGAGAAUUUUCGUUAUUAGCGUAGUAACACAGUGACCGUAACCUUUUACUCGUCUAUUAAUGCACCAGCCUUAUUUCCUCAUUCUAUUUGCUCCAAAUAUGGCAUUCGUGAGCGAUGCAGCGGGAAAAUUAGUUUGCGUGGCUGCCAUGCCUGGGGCAGCAAAUCAGGCGGGGGCUUCACUGCGAGCGAUCAUAUUUGAAUUUGAUCAAGACGCGGAUAUUCCGGAAGCUCCAGGUACGGAGGCGUUUUUAACUGCGCUCCAUCUUACCGCUGAUAUGCGAAACCAUUUCGAGGGCUGGCGAAAUGUUAUCGGAGAAGGCCAAGCGCGCUACGUUUAUCUUCGUCCGGAUCACCUCAUAGGCAAUCAGGCCGCGCUACUCAAUUCUAUACGAGGAGUUUUGGCGGCGGGCGUAACCUGUGCCGCUGCCAUGGAACGCCGACAUUAAUUAAUCUGCUGCUGGCCACGACUACGAGUCCAUUCACCAUGACACUUAUCAUUUCCCUUGAAGCUGUGAUCCUGUCCAUAGCCGUGUUCUUGUUCCAUCCAGCUGUUUUACGUAUUAUAACACAGGGACAAAAAUAUUUCCUAAUCGAAGCAAGACAGUUCUUUGCUUAACAAGAAUUUUAACACUAUGUUGCCCCUAUAUUUUAUUUUUGUUGGAGAAAUCUGGCGGUGAUUUCGUUUAUUUCUCAUGAGUAAUUUUAGCGGUGUGUACAAUAUUCAGACAAACCGGACGAGUAUGAUUGGUUUGUGGUUUUUUUGUACUGAGUAGUUACUGAUUUUCCCUCGGAAAAAUUUGGCAAGUUGAUGGAAUAUUUUUUACUCAGGUUUCUCUGUUAACAAUGCAACGGCUGUUCGACGGUAUUUCUGGGAAUAAAAUUGUUUGUAAUGAGUUUCUGUUUAGUUGUAAUGUCCAAGUGUUAUGCUGUAAAUUCUGCUGUAACCAUCAUCAUUCUUUUAAGUAUGAUUUGCCUAACUUUUCAGCGCAAACGUAGGCAAGGAAAAAUUAUUAAGUAUGUGAAUCAUUUUAGGGCACACUGGCCGAGUGUCGGUGCCGGCAUCCCGGCCUUCUACACGCCCACCGCCGUGGGCACCCUGAUGCACGAGGGCGCGGCGCCCCCAUCAAGUACGGGCCCAACAAGAAGAUCGACAUCGCCAGCCAGACCCGCGAGUCGAAAAUGUUAAACAACCGCCGCGCGGCCAAGGAGUUCAAGGACGGGAUGUAUGGCAAUCUGGGCACCCAUGCUGUGAAAACGGAAUACUGGGCUGUGGUGAAUGUGAAUAUCCCACCAAGGAGCAAGUGGACGCCGAUGUGAUCAACGUCGGCAAGCAGACGGUGACGGUGUUGCCCGGGGCCAGCUACUUCAGCAGCGAUGAAUCCUUCGCGAUGAUCCGCGGUGGGCACAUUCACCUGACGAUGCUGGACGCCCUGCAGGUGUCGAAGCGCGGCGAUCUGGCCAACUGGAUGAUUCCCGGAGAAGAUGGUCAAGGGGAUGGGCGGCGCUAUGGAUCUCGUGUCGGCCAGUGCAGCCGGAACAAAGGUGGUAAAGAGUACUAGAAUAGUCGUGAUGGAGCACACAUCGAAGGAGAAUGAUCCCAAGAUCCUCAACGAGUGUACAUUGCCCUGACCGGUAAAGGUGUCGUCGAUAUGAUCCUCACGGAGAAGUGUGUCUUUGUCGUGGACAAGGCCUAUAUUAAUGGAACACUGCGUCUGGCGGAACUGGCGGAGGGAGUGGCGGUCGCCGAUGUGAUCGGCACAACGGGAUGUGAAUUUGCAGUGGAUGCCAAUGUGAAAACCAUGGAAUACAAUCCCGGAGAAAUAACAGAUUUAUUGUUUUUUUCUGGGACUGCCAGUCCGGUCAUAGCAGGCGGUGGAGGUUGUUUUUUUAUUGGGAUCGGGUUUUAUGGUUUUAUAUCUGUACAAGUAUCUGCGCGGCGGUGGCUAAUUGGUCGGAUCGAUGAUUGCUUUUUUCUCGCGCGAGACGUGAUGGUUUGAUAAUAAACAAUUCUGCCGAGAAAAUUGAAACAAAAUU